rnacentral:lncRNA from 1 species
AUUCCACAUUAGAAACAUUAAGAGUCCUCUUUUUCCUCCUUCUUGUGGAAUUGGCUUUAAUAGUUCAUAAUUUAUGUUUUUCUACAUAUGUAUCGUAUUUUAUUGUGUUGAUGUAGUUUUCCUUCCAACUCCAUUAACCCUUUUGUUAGGAAUGAUUUAUGCCAUCAUUUUUUGGCAUCUGAUGAAAUAAUGUUUUUCCUCCUCCAAACAUUACAGGUAGAUAUGCCAGUGUUGAUCCCUACUUGCAUUUGUAGGCCAAGUCUUAUUUGUUCAUGUUGUAUUAUCUUAAAUAUGGGCAAGAUAAAUUCUGUUAACACUUGACAUGGAUUUUUUUUUCCCAUCUCUAUGAACACAUAAAAACAUCCUGAUUUUUCAUUUCUGGGUUUAUCUUCAUCUUUUUCAUUAGAAUCAUGACAUGUCUAUGAACUUGUGGGGCUCUCCUUCUAUUAGCAUGUUGCUAUGUAACAAAUCAUCCCAAAAUUGAGCAGCUUAAAUCAAUGAACAUUUAACAUUUACUAUCUCUUAGUUUCUGUGGGUCAAAAACUGAAUACCUAGUUAUUGCUGGGAGCCAUUAGCCAAGUAGGUAUGACAAUUUCCUUGCCAGCGUACCCCAU